AAUAAAAUAUGACAAUCUGCUCUGAGACUGAGGCUCCAACAUCCUGUCAUGUGGCGGGUCGGCCACACGGAGGCGCUGCAGCGCUGUAAAAAUUAGAAAGGUUAAAGGUUCAGUUCACUCAAAUGUGUUUUUGGUUUAGUUUGGUUCGUGACUUCCUGUCCUCAGAGCCGCCGCGGCCGCUCAGCUGUUUCCACCGGAUGUGACACCACAGAAGAAGAAGAAGAGGAGGAGGAUGACGACACUGAAGACGUGAACUUGUGACAGGACGAACGCUUCAGUGUCUGUUGACCUGUGACCCCGGAUCCUCCAGAGGUCAAGGGUCGUGUUUUGAUCACUUGACAAAACCUGAAAGCAGUUUGAAGGCCACUUCCGGUUUCCUCUCGCAUCGCGUCGGUCGAACACGGUGAACUUGACUCUGCGGCUCCGGAGGACGCGGCGCGGCGGAGGUUGUGCUCCGGUCGGUGCUGCACCGACGGUCGGUGACCGGACACACCGACGACCUGAUUGAAGACUGCACCACGUGACAGACGAGGAACCUGCAGCGCCGCAGACGACAUGUUGAUCAGCUGGUGUCGGUCUCACAGAGCGACAGACAGAAAACGAUGUUGUUACAGUCUGUUGUUACAGACACGUCAGUCGCUCGACUGGAAUGAAAUCCACAACUAUUUAAAUAGUCAAAUCAUCUCCUCAGUCUCUCUGAGACUAUUCAGAUGUGAGGAUUUCAGUUUUUUGUUCUCGUCCACCUGGGAGCACCGAUUGGACGGUACCAGCUGUCACUCACACUGACAGAACCCUGAUCUGGACCUCGUGAGCCUCAUGUCUGUGAUCGUGGCUCUGGACUCUGUGAGCUCGUCCUGUGUGACUGAUGAAGACUCUGAUGAUGAUGAAGACUGGUGAAGACUCUGAUGAUGAUGAAGACUGGUGAAGACUGAUGAUGAUGAAGACUGGUGAAGACUCUGAUGAUGAUGAAGAC